CAAUAGCGUAUAUUAAAGUUGUUGCAGUUAAAAAGCUCGUAGUUGGAUUUGUGGUUCGUCCCGCCGGCUGGGUCAUUGACUUUUGCUGUGCUGGUCGUCCAUCCUUGGGUGGAAUCUGUGUGGCAUUAGGUUGUCGCGCAGGGGAUGCCCAUCGUUUACUGUGAAAAAAUUAGAGUGUUCAAAGCAGGCUUAUGCCGUUGAAUAUAUUAGCAUGGAAUAAUGAUAUAGGACCUUGGUACUAUUUUGUUGGUUUGCGCACUGAGGUAAUGAUUAAUAGGGACAGUUGGGGGUAUUCGUAUUCCAUUGUAAGAGGUGAAAUUCUUGGAUUUUUGGAAGACGAACUACUGCGAAAGCAUUUACCAAGGAUGUUUNCAUUAG
rnacentral:rRNA from 1 species